AAAGCCAAAUUGUUCAGCAGAAGCUGAAAUGCAGACUGUUGGACAAACAAAGAUCCACUGCCGCUCUGCAUAGCGGAACGUGUAAUCAAAGCCUGCUGCUGAACACUGAGACACUGAUACCGGGUUGGGAGUCGCUGAGGCACACACUUCUCGACCACCUUUCAUAGGUUGUGACAUGGCACUUAAAACCAAGCAGCCGUUUUUGAGCUGCUCCGCGCAGCUCAUCUGCCA